rnacentral:lncRNA from 1 species
CCCCUCAAUCAUGAAGAGGAACCCAUGAAAGAUUUUAGUAGAAUGAAUUUAGAAGUGGUUCAACCACUAGAAUAUGUAGAAGGGAUUAUUGCCACGAUGGUAAUAACACCCAACUUUAUAGGAAAGCUGUUAAUAGUACCAAAAAAAAAAAAAAAAAAAAAAAAAAAAAAAGGGAAAUGAGACCUUAGAGAAAAUACGUUUAGCAAUA